rnacentral:lncRNA from 1 species
GCAUUCAGUCCAUAUAAAAUUACUAAUUCCUGUACAAUCAACCUUCUUAUGCACAGAAAAAAAAAUGGAACAGUACAAUUAUCAGCAAGCUAUCUGAUCUCUGAAGGUGGAUAUCUCCUCAAAAAUGGGUAACCUCCUUGACCUGAAGGGAGACCAAUCACUCAUCAAGAGGUCGAUUCUCCCCAUGAUUUCCUCUUCUUGACCAAAAUCAAUCUCUAAUGUUGAUGUGGCUGGCCGCAGAUCAAUCUCAUGCAUCAACUCUUCAGCCUUCUUUAUGGUCUUCCAAUCAUCAGAACCCGAGAACCGGCGGUGGAUGACAUCCUCGAUCACAUGAUGGGCAUCAUGAUAUCUGCCUUGCCUGACGAGGCAUAGCCCAAGAUUGCAG